rnacentral:ncRNA from 2 species
UUACCUUAGCGACCAUACGGUUCUCAAGCUUAUGUCUAAGCUGAGAUAAAAGGGAAUCCGGUGAAAGAUUAACUGGCACAGUUAUCUUAAAACCGGAGCUGCCCCCGCAACUGUAAUCGGAGAGUGUGUCGUCAAACUUGCCACUGAGUCGUGAACGCUGACUUGGGAAGGCCGACCACACGCAACGACCCGAGAGCCAGGAGACCUGCCGUAUAUUUUUUCAACAC